GGCUGUGCAGAAUGUGCUUUGUUAAACAAGUGCUUGAAGGCAGUAUGCUUGGUAAAAGUCAUCGCCAUUCUCUAAUCUUGAGUACCCAGGGACACGAUACACUGCGGAAGGCUGCAGGGACCUCUGCCCAGGAAAGCCAGGUGGUUUCCAAAAGGAAAAGCUUUGGGAGAUAGAAGUCCUCGUUUUGACCUCUGCCCUCCUUGUACACCAGGAGCCAGAAAAACUUCAUCUCUUUUACAAGAAACAUUGAGAUUCCUGUAAAAUUAAGAAAUCACACAAUUUGAUGGUCUACAUUAUCUAAAGCAAAUGAGACUUCUAUUUGGAACAAAGACUACCUUGUUGGGAAAUGAGUCUGCAAGUUAAAGUGUUUUCUGAGCUCAGAUGGAAAAGAAUGGUGUUACUGAGACCCUUCAAGAUUCCCAGUGUAAUUCAAUAAAGAAAAGGCAACACAAAGGGGUUGUAUAGAAUUCGCCACAUUAUGGACCCAUGUCAUAGAGAGAAUCCACGGUGCAUUUGUUAGCUGCAUUUAAAUGACAACACUUUCAGAUCCAAGAUUUAUUUGGGAUAAAAAUUUACCUGGAUGCAAGGCUAUUCAGAAUGAAGAUUAAUGAUAUGGUUUGGCUGUGUCCCCACCCAAACUUCAUCUUGAAUUCCCACGUGUUGUGAGAGGGACCUGGUGGGAGAUAAUUGAACCAUGGGGGCAGGUCUUUCUCAUGCUGUUCUCAUGAGAGUGAAUAAGUCUCAUGAAACCUGAUGGUUUUAUAAGGGGGAAUUUCCCUGCACAAGCUCUCUCUCUGCCUUUUGCCAUCCAUGUAAGACGUGACUUGGUCCUCCUUGCCUUCUACCAUGAUUAUGAGGCCUCCCCAGCCACGUGGAACUGUGAGUCCAUUAAACCUCUUUCUUUUGUAAAUUUCCCAGUCUCAGGUAUGUCUUUAUCAGCAGCAUGAAAACAGACUAACACAAUUACAUUUCCCAGCUAUCCCCUUGCACUGAGAUGAGCCAUGUUACUAAUCCUGACAAAUGGGAUGUGAGUUUAAAUUACAUGUGAAACCUCUGGGUUUCACAAGAGGAAUCUGAACCCCUGCAAAGAAAGAGACCCCAAACAGUCCUGGAUCAUUAUGUGACAGAGAGAAUCACUUCUAUCUUGUGUUUUAAAAUACUGUUAUGUUUAAUCUCUGUCAUGGCAGUAAAACCUAUAUUGGAACAAGUCCCUAAGGCUGCCUAGGUGAAAGGCGAUGGUCUGAGGCAGGAACAGGGUGAAUGAAUUAAUGGAGAUAAUAGAUCUGAGAAUAGUUGUUGGACUUAUUGACAGGAUGUAGGAAACAAGAGAGAAGAAGGUGUUAAUUGCACCCUCCCGCCCCAUAUGCUUUCACUCCAAGACUGGGUAAAUGGAUGGUGAAGUCAUCAAUGAAAAAAGGAGGAUGUGGGAGAAGUAAGAUUACUUCCAAACAUUUUAGAGGAGUUGGAAGUUUGCUGGGAAAAACCUGUUUUCAGUUCAUUUGUUCAUCAAUUCAAAAGAAUUUUACUGACCUCUUACUAUGUGUAAGGAACAAAGGAUUUUUUUACAAAAAAAAAAAUGUUCAUUAGCAAUAGCGUAGGUUUUUAUUACAAAAACAAUAAAGAUGGGAACCUCAGCUGUAAAAGUAGUAAAAAUACAGAACUCUGUAGAUUAUGCACAGAUUUGUCAGGCCCUUCAUUGCUUGAGCUGUUUACAGAUCAUCUAACAUCUCACUUAGUGUUGUCUCAGGUUUGCACAAGCAGCCAGCCUGGACAAGGGAAGUGUGUGAGGCACACUUUUAGCUUUAAGAUUUUAUAAAAGUCCACCUGUUUGGAGCUGAGGUUCAUAUAAGAAAGAGAAGGCCCCUACAGUGAGAAGAAUUUCACAUAGCCACUCAUGUAGUUGUACUGUAAUCCCAAAUAUCCUUAGGAGAGUCAUUCCAAAUAAACAUAUGUACAUGUACAUUCAGGGCAAAGAGUAUGUGUAUGUACAUUCCAUACACUUCAAAACACAGUCCUGUUUAAAUCAUCUCUGCACAUUUUCAUAGCAGACUUUCUUUUUGCCCAUUUAUCCUCCUACAUAAGCAGUUUAAAUAAUCACCCUACAUGAUAUUCUGAACUUCCUGAGUAGAAUAGUUUGUCUCAUAUUGACUAAAAAUUCAAAGUAUGUCUAUAUAUCAGGAAAGUCAUUUAACAUUCAUGUUAACAGUCACAAAUGUUAGGCCGCUUCAAACAUAUCCUACCAUAGAUUUCUUAAACAUAAAAUAUAUAUGAAGGAAAUCAAACUACUUCACUCUCAGUUUUUUAACAAAUGGUCUGGGAUCAUGUUAACUCCUUUGAUCUCUGCUUCCUGCAGGGUGGUCUGCUGCUGAUCAAAUGAAAGUAUUCCCCAGCUAAGUCAGACAACAGGAAAGCAUUCAUUUAAUUAACAGGCAUUCAAUGCAAUUCAAUGGGUUAUUUCUUAAACACCUACUAUGUGUCAAAUCCUGUCCUGUGCCUAAGUGGAUGCAAAGGUAAGUAAGAUUUAACAUGGCUCUGACGCAGGUUCAUCGAAGAGCCCUAGGACCCUGAAGGGAAAGGUUAAUUUCUUGUGAUUGUGAUGAAAGGAAAAAACACUUCCUAAAGAUUCCUACGUAAGAGCUAAACUUAGAAAGAAAGAAGGGUGGGAGUGAGGUCUCAGAAGAAACAACUGACACCUUGAUCUCAGACUUCUAACUUCCAGAACAUUGAGAAAAUAUAUUUCUAAUGUUUAAACCAUCCAGUCUGUGCUACUUUGUCAUGGCAGCCUAGCAAACUAAGACAAGGCAUAACUCUCCAACAUUUGUAAAGGAGUGUCAAAUACGUCACUGUUGAUCUUCACAUUAACCCUGCAAGGUAUAUAUUAUUAUGCGCAUUUAAGGAAACUGAGGCUCAUCAGAUAAGUAACUUGCCCAAAAUCACACAUCUACAAGUAGCAGAAAGAUACAUAGAGAACUGGGAGCAUACUGCACAUAUUUUUAUCUGCCAUUUUUAACUCAGUUGUUUUAUCAUGGACAUUUCCCAUAUCACUGAAAAUCAAAGUAUGUCAGUUUAGGUUUGCUUAUCUCAACUUUGAAUAAGCUGCCUAGGAAAUCUAUGUAACAGAGGAACAUCUUGAAAACUAACAUUGGAAAAAAUAAAAAUGAAACAUAACUUGUUAAAACCAGCAAGGAAUUUAGUGAUCACCCAAGAAGGCCAAACACUAUGACAGGUGACAACAAGGCUAUGGCACAUCCUGGGUCCUAGAAAGGCUGUCCUAGUUCAUGUGAAUAUUCUGGGAAGGACUUUCUCAUCCUCCUUGACCCCAAGAACUAUGGAGGGCUGAACAGGCAGGUUGAUCCCUCUCUAGCUCUGGGUCUCAUAGAGCAAAGAGGAUGAUGCUAUUAGGGUUCACCUCACAGUGUAUUAAAGGAGGGAAAGACUUAAAAUGGUUUACAGUGAGGUUUGGGAAACAUUAGCAAUGAUUUCUGUGAUUUAGAAGAUAAAAAUAAAAAAUUCUAUUCUUGCUUUUUAUAUAUAGAUUAUCCAGUUUAUUCUUGAUAACCAUUUUCAGAAUGACAUGGAUCAUCACUGCAAGACCGUAGGUGUACAUCCAGUAGAACUCGGGGAAGAACCAAUAUCACGGAAGAAGAAAGAGAAGAAAAUUGAUGUAUUCAUUACCUCUAGAAGCUUACUAUCCAGUUGGGGAUAUGACAAAUCUUAAAAACAAAAAUUGGAAAGAAAAAAGACUUGCUUAAAGUAGCCACCGAUUGUUUUUAAAAGACCUAAUAAGAAUUUGUGUGAAUAUACUUUAUAAAUUUUGAAGCACUGUAACAGGUUCUUAAACUACUACAUGUUUUAAAAAUACUGAUUUUUUUCUGAGUUUCAGGCACUAUUUUGUAAUUAUUAGUAACUAGUGCAUGUAAGUUAGCAUAGCAGAGUUGAAACUGAGUUAGUAGUUGCCUAGGAGACCUAAAAUAAAGAAGCAACUCACAAGAGUUGGAGGUUGCCCUCGCUCACACUGCCACAAACAUUUUUAAACACCACCACGGCUUAUGGACAAAGUAGACACGGCACAGGUUUAAACUCAGGGCUGGGGCUGGAAUCCCAGCUCCGCUACUUAGUAGUUAUUUGACCUAAGAUAAGUCAUGAAAAUGCCAUUGAUGAUAAUAGACCUUGAAGCGCUCUUAAAAGAUUUCAUGAUAAUGCAUGUAGAGUACCUGGCCCACAGUCAGGGCACUAUAAAUGGAAAAUCUUAUUACUCUUAGGAGCUAUUAUUAGUUUUCUAGGGCUGCCAUAACAAAGUUCCACAAACUGGGUGGCUUAAAAGAAAUUUAUUUCUCACAGUUCUGGAGGCUAGCCAUGCAAAAUCAAGAUGUCAGCAGCGUUGGUUCUUUCCGAGGGCUCCCAGGGAGCAUCUGUUCCAUGCCUCUCCUAGCUUCUGGUGAUGGCUGGCAAUUCUUGGUGUUCCCUGCUUGUAGAAGCAUCACUCCAGUUUCUGUCUUCUUCUUCAUAUGGUGUUCUCCUUGUGCCUCUGUGUCUUCACAUAGCCAUCUUCCCUCUGUUUCUCUCCUUUUCUUAUAAGGACACCAUUUGUAUGGAUUAAAGGUCCACCCUACUCCAGUAUGGCUUCAUUUUAACUAAUUAUAUCUGCAAUAACCCUAUUUCCAAAUAAGAUCACAUUCUAUAGUACUGGGAGGCUGGACUUAAACAUAUCUUUAUGGUGGCAGGGGCCACAAGUCAACCCAUAACAACAACUUAAGUUCAGCUUCUAGUCCCACAAACCAGCCAAGUGACCUUGAAUGAAGCACUGCCUCCGAUACUCAGUAUACUCAGUAUCGUCAUUUAUAAAUUAAGACAAUAGUAUCUCUUUAUAGAAUCUCCCAUAGAGUCAAAAAAGACUAUAAGUGAGAGUGCUUUCUAAACUAUAGAGCAUUAUAUAAUUUAAUUAUAAGUAUUUCUAUAAAGAUUACAGAGUAUUUUGAUGCCCAUUUUAUUCUUAGCUUAGCUCCUAUAACCCCUCUGAAUCGUCCAUUGCCCCACAGUUCCUUGCUUGCCUUCAACAAACUCAAAUAGGACAUUUUUUAAAUGAUUUGUCCUCUUAACUCUAAGCGAACUAAAUUAUGCCUGUGUAUUAUUGGGCUGGGGCAAUUGAGUUACCUGACCAUUUCCAUGAAGUCACAGUGCUAACCUAAUGCAAUGUGACAGCUUUUUCCUGUAGCACAUUCUUAAAAUUUGAUUAUUCUGAGUAAGAAAAUAUUCAUUGAGAGGCUCACCAGGAUUGCACCAGGCCUGUUUAGUAUCCAUAUGUAAAGGUUAAGCUCCAGGAGUGAGAGCCAGAGGGCAGCUGAGCUGCCAUCAGUCAUCUUUCUCAGGCUCCAAAUUGAGGAGAAUUAAUGUGUACCUGCUUCUGUAACCUUCCGCUGCAGAAUUAGACCAUGAAUAAUAAAAUCCACGAUUAGUCAUAAAUUGGAAGAGAUGGGUUUUUUGUACUGCAAUAAAACAAUUGAAAAGUAAACAGGCCUUUUAUACUUUCAUAAAACAGGCACAUUAGAGCAUCCGAAAUAGCCUUCACUUGGGUUCUUCAUUACACUGAUAAUGACUGCAUAUUGCCAGUAUGUGCCCUCUUAGUGAAUAAUUUUUUAAGGGCAAAAAACAGAGUACAUAGGUAUUUGGUUCAUUCUCAUUAAGUUUUGUACUGAAAAAUGUAACCUCUUUUUUCUAUUUUCAGAUGAUGCAUAUCAUAAAUUAUUACUCACCCCAUGUUCCCACCCUCGAGAGACCUCCAAACAAUCACCAUGCCACAGUGAACAUUCAGUAACAAAAAUUCAGCCAGGGUUUUCACCAGCAUGAAUGGCAGUGAUUCCAAUCAGGAAAACAGAAAGAGGAGAGUUCAGAGCCACCUAGAAUGGCUCUUGCAAGAUACGAAAUCAAGGCAGCAGCAACAGGGCUGAACAUUCCUCAUCCCUAACUCUCCCUUCACCAGUAGGAAACCCAGGAUAACUGCAAUCACCGCAGGCCCAUCUGGCCUGAAGUUCUACUACUAGUAGCCCUCCAUGGGACCUUCUUAAGGAAGCAUGUCAACUCAGGUAAGGGAUGUAAGGGGAUGGAUGACCCUUUGAGGCCAAAGUUGGAGCAAAAAACACCAGAUGUUCCUGUGCACUGCUCCUAAGAGAUGGUUCUGAAGACCAGUUCGGGGAGAGGUCAAAAUACUGGACAGAAUCUCAGCAACAUGGAACCUCAAACUAAGUGACAGUCACAGACAACUCUUCCCCAAAGAAAAUAAGCACAGACAUGGUUUGUGGUAAGCAGAAUUAUAAAGAUGAAUUCCCAUCUCCCUGUCAGAUUACCAGUAUGGUAAAUUACCAGAUUACCUGGUUAUUUAUUCAAACACUAAUACAGUUAUUGCCUUGAUGGAAACAUACAGAUACAAUUAAAAUCCCAAGUACCAAAUAAAUUGACCUUAAGACAAAGACUAAGUAAAUCACAUGAGCCCUCUACAAGCAGAGAGUUUUUCUCCAGCUGGUAGCAGAAGCCAGAGAUUUGAAGCAUAGGAAGUAUUCAACACAUUAUUGCUGGCCUGAAAAUGGAAGGGGCCACAUAACGAGGGAAACCGGUGGCCUCUAGAAGCAGGGAGCAGUCCCCUGCUGACAGACAGCAAGCCAAGACCUCAGUUCUACAAUUGCAAGACACUCAAUUCUGCUAAGGACAAAAAUGAGCUUGGAAGUGAACUCUGAGCUUCAGGUGAGAACACGGCCAAACAACACCUUGAUUUCAGCUUAAACAAAGAAUGCAGCCACUCCAUGCCAGAAUUCUGACCUGUAGAAAUUUGAGCUAAUAAAUAGAUGUUUUAAUAGCUUCAUCGAUACAUACUUCACUUACUGUAAAAUUCAUUAUUUUAAAGUGUACAAUUCAGUGGUUUUCAGUAUAUCCACAAAAUGCAACCAUCACCACUAUCUGAUUUCAGGAUUUCUUUUUCUUUUCUUUUUUUUUUAAUCCCAUAAAGAAAAUCCAAACCAAUUAGCAGUCUUUCUUCCUUCUCCCUGCUCCCAGCCCGUGAAAACCACUAAAUUACUGUCUGUUUCCAUGGAUAUGCCUAUUCUGGAUAUUUUAUAUAAACCAAAUCAUGCAAUAUGUGGCCUUUUGUAUUUGGCUGCUUGCACUUAGCAUAAUGUUUUCAAAAUCCAUCCAUGUUGUAGCAUUUCUCAGUAUUUCAUUCCUUGUAUAGCUGAAUAAUAUACCACACAAAUAUAUCACAUUUUGUUUGUCCAUUCAUCAUUUAAUAGAUGCUUAGGUUUUUCCAUUUUUUAAGUAUUAUAAAUAAUAUGGCUUUUAAUAUUUGUGUACAAGUUUUUCUGUAGGCACAGGUUUUCAUUUCUCAUGGAUAUAAACCUAGAGUGAAAUUGCUGGGUCAAAUAGUGGCUCUAUGUUUAACAAUUUGAGGAACAGCCAAACUGUUUUUUGAAAUGGCUGCAUUAUUUUACAAUUCUGUCAACAAUGUAUGAGGGUUCCAAUUUCCUGACGUCCUUGUCAACACUUGUUAAUGUCUGCUUUUGUAUUUUAGGCACCCUAGUGGGUAUGUCAUAAUAUUGCAUUGUGAUUUUGAUUUGCAUUUCCCUAAUGGCUAAUGUUGUACAUCUUUUAUAUGUGCUUAUUGGCCAUUUGUUUAUGUUCUUUAGAGAAAUGUUCUGUUCAAACACUUUGCCCAAGUUUUAACUGGACUAAUUAUCUUUUUAUUGUUGCGCUGCAAGAAUUCUACAUGUAUUCUGGAGUAGUUGUUUAUCCGAAAUACAAUUUGCAAAUAUUUUCUGUCACUGUAUAGGUUGUCUUUUUACUUUCUUGAUAGUGUUCUUUGAAGCAAAAAAGUUUUUUUAUUUUCUUGAACCCCAGUUGAUCUAUUGUUUCUUCUUUUUCUGCUUGUACUUUCGGUUUUAUAGCUAAGAAGCCAUUGCUUAAAUCAAGUUCACAAAGAUUUACACCUCUGUUUUCUUCUAAGAGAUUUACAGCUUUCUUUUUUUUUUUUUUUUUCUUUUUUGCUAGAGAAAGGAUCUCACUGUUGGCCAGGCUGUUCUCAAACUCCUGGGCUCAAAUGAUCCUCUUGCCUCAGCCUCCCAAAGUGCUGGGAUUACAGGCAUGAGCCACCACGCCCAUCCAAGUUUUACAGCUUUAGAUGUUGCAUUUAGAUCUUUGAUCCAUUUUGACUUAAUUUUUAUAUAUGGUGUGAGAUAGAGGUUCGGCUUUAUUCUUUUGCCUGUAGAUAUCCAGUUGUUUCAAGCCACAGUGAGAUACCACUUCACACCUACUAGGAUGGCUACAAUAAAAAAAAGACAAUAACAAAUAUUGAUGAGAAUUUGGAGAAAUUUGAAUCCUUCAAUUUGCUAAUAAGAUGUAAAUUAGAGGAACCACUUUAGAAAACAUUUUGGCAGCUCCUCAAAAUGGGUAUAUACCUGUAAUUUUAUGUUUAAAACAUAACUGUAAUUUUAUGUUUAAAAUUACUGUUUGACUCAACAAUUCCACUCCUAGGUAUAUACCAAAGAGAAAUGUAAACAAAGGUUUACACAGAAACUUGUAUAAAAAUGUUAAUAGCAGCAUUAUUUAUAAUAGCCAAAAAGUGGAAACAAGCUAAAUAUUCUUCGACUGACGAAUGGAUAAAGAAAAUGUGGUAUAUCUAUAUGAUGGACUAUCACUCUACCAUUCAAAGAAACAAAAUACUGAAUCAUGCUACAGUAUGGAUGAAUUUAAAAACAUUAUGCUAAGUGAAAGAAGCCAGACACAAAAGUCCACAUAUUGUGUGAUUCCAUUUAUAUGAAAUGUUCAGAAAAGGCAAAUCUAUAGAGACAGAAAGCAAAUUCGUGAUUGCCUAGCGUGGGGUGCAGAAAAAAGUGGGGAUUGGAGGGUGAUAACUCAGGGGUGCAGGGUUUCUUUGGGGGGUGAUGAAAAUGUUCUAAAAUUAAUUAUGGUGAUUAUGGUUACACAGCGUUAUGAAUAUACUAAAGACCAUUAAAUUAUAUACUUAAAAUGAUUGUAUUAUGUGGUAUAUGAAUUAUAAUUCAAUAGAAUAGUAGUAAAAAAACAGGUGAUGGAAAGCAUUUGCCUGCAGUCUAUACUUUUUCUACUCCUGGUAUAGGAGAACAAGAACAAAGAAGUCACUCAGAUUGUUUUAAUUGCCUUUGUACUAAGGAGAAAAAUAAGACCUAUGUCAGGCACAUGGGUAGAUGGUUCCUCAUAAAGGCUUAAGACAAAACCCAAGUAAAUAAAAAUGAGUUUGUAUUUUUCUGAUGAACUUUUUUGUAUAUGUUUUAUGUGAACUCAUGUGAGGCAGAGGCAGAGAGUCACUAUACAUGAUUUCUAGAUACUGGCCAUAAAACUUUCUUUCUCAUCAUUGCUAAUAGGAGAAUCAGAGAGCAUAUAGUUACAACUAGUUUUUUAAUUCAAUCUGGCAAUCUCUGUAGUUUAAUUGAAGUUUUUUAUAAAAUUUAUACUUAAGGCCAGAUGAGGUGGCUCACGCUUGUAAUUCCAGUACUUUGGGAGGCCGAGGUGGGUGGAUCACGAGGUCAGGAGUUCGAGACCAGCCUGGCCAAGACAGUGAAACCCCGUCUCUACUAAAAAUACAAAACUUAGCUGGGUGUGGUGGCAGGCAGCUACGCGGGAGGCUGAGGCAGGAGAAUCACUUGAACCUGGGAGGCGGAGGUGGCAGUGAGCCAAAAUUGCACCACUGCACUCCAGCUUGGUCAACAAAGCCAGACUCUCUCUCAAAAAAAAAAAUUAUAGUUAAUGUAAUUUUUAACAUUCUUUUGUUUUAAACCACAUAUUUUCAUCUAGUUAUUUAUCCUUUCUAUUAUUCUUGUGUUUUAAACCCCCAUAUUUCCACCUAGUUUUUGUUUAAUCUCUAUUUUUUCUUCCAUUUGCCUCUUUUUCUGCCUUCAUUUGGAUGAUUAUUUUAUAUUUGAUAUUAGCUUAUUAAUGACUAUGCUUUCUAUUAUUUUAAGUGGUUGUUCUAGGUCUUAAAAUACAUAUAUUUGACUUAACAUAGUCUAUCUCCAAAUAUUACUUUAACCGCUUCACGUAUAUUGUAACAACUUUACAAGGGUAUAAUUCCAUUUUCUUUCUCCUGUCCUUUAUCCUAAUAUGUAUACUUCUAUAGGUGUUAUAAAUUCCACAACACAUUGUUAUUAUUGUUGUUUCAAGCAGUGAAUUUUUUAAAAAAAAUUUAAAAUUAGGACAAAAGUCUGUUAUAUUUAACCAGUAUAUUUACCUGUUCCAACAUUCUUCAAUUCUUUGCAUAGAGCCAAAUUUCUUCCAUUAUUUUCCUCCUGCCAAAGACCUUUUCAUAGCCUUCUUACAUUGGAAGCCUGCUGGUAAUGAAUUCUUCAAGCUCCACUUUUAUAUUAAAAAAUUCCUUUUUAAAAUCAUUUUUAUAUUAUUACAUGUUAUUGAAUUAUCAUUUAACAGUAUUUUGUUUGUUUUUGUUUUGUUCCCUCCACCCCUUUCUCAUGAAGUAAAAAUGUUUCUCAAUUUUCUUUUGAUUUACAUAGUUUCUGAUUUAAAGUCUGGCAUCAGUCUUAUCUGGUUUGUAAUGUUUAUUUUUCUCUGGCGGCUUAUAAAAUUCCCUUUAUCACUGAUUUUCAUCAAUUUGAUUACAACAUGGUGGUUCUUUUAUACUUAUUCUGUUUGGGAUUCAUUUAUCUUUUUGGAUUGCUUUAUAAAUUUCAUCUCUUACGGAAAAUGUUCAUUUACUAUUUCAUCUCUUUUUUUGUUUUGUUUUUUCCACCCUGGGACUCCAAUGACAUAUAUUUUAGACCAUUUAGUGCUUUUAUACAGAAAAACGAUGCUCUGUUUAUUCUGUUUUAAGUAUUUUUUUCUCAUUAUGCUUCUUUUUGGAUAAUUCCUAUUGCUAUACCUUUGGGUUCACUUAUUUUUUAUGGUAUCUAAUCUGCUGUUAAUCUCAUCCAGAGUCUUUUUUAUUUCUAUUACAUUUUUCAUCACUAGAAACUCUAUUUGAAUCUUCUUAUAACUUCCAUUUCUCUCCUCAUUGUGG
rnacentral:lncRNA from 1 species